rnacentral:misc_RNA from 1 species
UUUCCGUAGGUGAACCUGCGGAAGGAUCAUUAAAGAUUUGGCCCUUGGGCCUAAAUCCACCUCUUUGGCUGUGCGCCUUUGGGCUGCACGCCAUCGAGUAACCCCUCACACACCAUGUGCACCCACAUUUGGUUGCGGCAGGUCCUUAGGGAUCGGCCGCUCCCAAAACAAUUUACAUACAACAAGUCCAGAGUGUAACAAAACUAUAAAGUAACAACUUUCAACAACGGAUCUCUUGGCUCUC